rnacentral:rRNA from 1 species
GACGAACGCUGGCGGCGUGCUUAACACAUGCAAGUCGAACGGAAAGGCCCUGCUUGUGUGGGGUGCUCGAGUGGCGAACGGGUGAGUAACACGUGAGUAACCUGCCCUUGACUUUGGGAUAACUUCAGGAAACUGGGGCUAAUACCGGAUAGGAGCUCCUGCUGCAGGGUGGGGGUUGGAAAGUUUCGGCGGAUGGGGAUGGACUCGCGGCUGAUCAGCUUGGUGGUGGGGUAGUGGCUUACCAAGGCUUUGACGGGUAGCCGGCCUGAGAGGGUGACCGGCCACAUUGGGACUGCGAUACGGACCAGACUCCUACGGGAGGCAGCAGUGGGGAAUAUUGCACAAUGGGCGGAAGCCUGAUGCAGCAACGCCGCGUGCGGGAUGACGGCCUUCGGGUUGUAAACCGCUUUCGCCUGUGACGAAGCGUGAGUGACGGUAAUGGGUAAAGAAGCACCGGCUAACUACGUG